UGAGGAAUAUUGGUCAAUGGACGCAAGUCUGACCCAGCAACGCCGCGUGAAGGAAGAAGGCUUUCGGGUUGUAAACUUCUUUUAAGGGGGAAGAGCAGAAGACGGUACCCCUUGAAUAAGCCACGGCUAACUACGUGCC
rnacentral:rRNA from 1 species